UACGGAGGGUGCGAGCGUUGUCCGGAAUCAUUGGCGUAAAGGGCGCGUAGGUGGCGGGAUAAGCGUGCGGUGAAAGCUUGGGGCUCAACCCCGAGUCGGCCGUGCGAACUGUUCUGCUUGAGCACUGUAGAGGCAGGCGGAAUUCCGGGUGUAGCGGUGGAAUGCGUAGAUAUCAGGAGGAACACCAAUGGCGAAGGCAGCACUCUGGGACGUGACUGACGCUGAGGAGCGAAAGCGUGGGGGAGCGAACAGG
rnacentral:rRNA from 1 species